rnacentral:rRNA from 1 species
AGUGAACGCUGGCGGUAGGCCUAACACAUGCAAGUCGAACGGCAGCACAGUAAGAGCUUGCUCUUACGGGUGGCGAGUGGCGGACGGGUGAGGAAUACAUCGGAAUCUACUUUUUCGUGGGGGAUAACGUAGGGAAACUUACGCUAAUACCGCAUACGACCUACGGGUGAAAGCAGGGGAUCUUCGGACCUUGCGCGAUUGAAUGAGCCGAUGUCGGAUUAGCUAGUUGGCGGGGUAAAGGCCCACCAAGGCGACGAUCCGUAGCUGGUCUGAGAGGAUGAUCAGCCACACUGGAAGUGAGACACGGUCCAGACUCCUACGGGAGGCAGCAGUGGGGAAUAUUGGACAAUGGGCGAAAGCCUGAUCCAGCCAUACCGCGUGAGUGAAGAAGGACUUCGGGUUGUAAAGCCCUUUUGUUGGGAAAGAAAAGAAGCAGGUUAAUACCCCGCUGUUCUGACGGUACCCAAAGAAUAAGCACCGGCUAACUUCGUG